rnacentral:tRNA from 1 species
UGGGGAGUAGCCAAGUGGUAAGGCACAUGGUUUUGGUCCAUGCAUCCGGGGGUCCGAAUCCCUCCUCCCCAA